rnacentral:rRNA from 1 species
CCCGCCCUUAGAGUUUGAUCCUGGCUCAGGAUGAACGCUGGCGGCGUGCCUAACACAUGCAAGUCGAACGGAACUUCUUUGACAGAAUUCUUCGGAAGGAAGUUGAUUAAGUUUAGUGGCGGACGGGUGAGUAACGCGUGGGUAACCUGCCCUGUACACACGGAUAACAUACCGAAAGGUAUGCUAAUACGGGAUAAUAUAAGAAAUUCGCAUGUUUUUCUUAUCAAAGCUCCGGCGGUACAGGAUGGACCCGCGUCUGAUUAGCUAGUUGGUGAGGUAAUGGCUCACCAAGGCGACGAUCAGUAGCCGACCUGAGAGGGUGAUCGGCCACAUUGGAACUGAGACACGGUCCAAACUCCUACGGGAGGCAGCAGUGGGGAAUAUUGCACAAUGGGCGAAAGCCUGAUGCAGCAACGCCGCGUGAGCGAUGAAGGCCUUCGGGUCGUAAAGCUCUGUCCUCAAGGAAGAUAAUGACGGUACUUGAGGAGGAAGCCCCGGCUAACUACGUGCCAGCAGCCGCGGUAAUACGUAGGGGGCUAGCGUUAUCCGGAUUUACUGGGCGUAAAGGGUGCGUAGGCGGUCUUUUAAGUCAGGAGUGAAAGGCUACGGCUCAACCGUAGUAAGCUCUUGAAACUGGAGGACUUGAGUGCAGGAGAGGAGAGUGGAAUUCCUAGUGUAGCGGUGAAAUGCGUAGAUAUUAGGAGGAACACCAGUAGCGAAGGCGGCUCUCUGGACUGUAACUGACGCUGAGGCACGAAAGCGUGGGUAGCAAACAGGAUUAGAUACCCUGGUAGUCCACGCUGUAAACGAUGAUUACUAGGUGUGGGGGGUCUGACCCCUUCCGUGCCGGAGUUAACACAAUAAGUAAUCCACCUGGGGAGUACGGCCGCAAG